rnacentral:rRNA from 1 species
ACAUGCAAGUCGAACGAGAAAGCCGGAGCAAUCUGGUGAGUAAAGUGGCGUACGGGUGAGUAACACGUGGAUUAUCUACCUCUUAGUGGGGAAUAACGCUGGGAAACUGGCGCUAAUACCGCAUAAGCUCGUGAGAGGAAAGCAGCAAUGCGCUGAGAGAGGAGUCCGCGGCCGAUUAGCUAGUUGGCAGGGUAAUGGCCUACCAAGGCAAAGAUCGGUAGCCGGCCUGAGAGGGCACACGGCCACACUGGCACUGAAACACGGGCCAGACUCCUACGGGAGGCAGCAGUGGGGAAUCUUGCACAAUGGGGGAAACCCUGAUGCAGCGACGCCGUGUGAGCGAUGAAGCCCUUCGGGGUGUAAAGCUCUUUCGGCAGGAACGAUAAUGACGGUACCUGAAGAAGAAGCUGCGGCUAACUACGUGCCAGCAGCCGCGGUAAUACGUAGGCAGCGAGCGUUGUUCGGAG